GCAACGGGACGGAAAGACCCCGUGAACCUUUACUAUAGCUUAACAUUGAUUUUGGGUAAGUAAUGUGUAGGAUAGGUCGGAGACUAUGAACCGGUUUCGCCAGGAAUCGGGGAGUCGUCCUUGAAAUACGACCCUUUAU
rnacentral:rRNA from 1 species